AGAUUGAACGCUGGCGGAAUGCUUUACACAUGCAAGUCGAACGGCAGCACGGGGGCAACCCUGGUGGCGAGUGGCGAACGGGUGAGUAAUGUAUCGGAACGUGCCCAGUCGUGGGGGAUAACUAUCCGAAAGGAUAGCUAAUACCGCAUACGUCCUGAGGGAGAAAGCGGGGGACCUGCAAAGGCCUCGCGCGAUUGGAGCGGCCGAUAUCGGAUUAGCUAGUUGGUGGGGUAAAGGCUCACCAAGGCGACGAUCCGUAGCGGGUCUGAGAGGACGACCCGCCACACUGGAACUGAGACACGGUCCAGACUCCUACGGGAGGCAGCAGUGGGGAAUUUGGACAAUGGGGGCAACCUGAUCCAGCCAUUCCGCGUGAGUGAAGAAGGCCUUCGGGUGUAAAGCUCUUUCAGCGGAACGAAACGGUCGAUCCUAAUAAGGUCGGCUAAUGACGGUACCUGCAGAAGAAGCACCGGCUAACUACGUGCCAGCAGCCGC
rnacentral:rRNA from 1 species